rnacentral:rRNA from 1 species
UACGUAGGGCGCAAGCGUUGUCCGGAAUUAUUGGGCGUAAAGAGCUCGUAGGUGGCUUGUCACGUCGGGUGUGAAAGCUUGGGGCUUAACUCCAGGUCUGCAUUCGAUACGGGCUGGCUAGAGGUAGGUAGGGGAGAACGGAAUUCCUGGUGUAGCGGUGAAAUGCGCAGAUAUCAGGAGGAACACCGGUGGCGAAGGCGGCAUUCUGGACCGACAUUGACGCUGAGGAGCGAAAGCCAGGGGAGCAAACGGG